CAGCAGUGAGGAAGGUGGGUAUGUUAAUUAGCAUACUCAUUUUGACGUUAGCUUGCAGAAGAAGUCACCGGCUAACUCCGUGUCCAGCAGCGCGGUAAUACGGAGGGUUGCGAGCGUUAAUCGGAAUUACUGGGCGUAAAGCGCAUGCAGGUGGUUUGUUAAGUCAGAUGUGAAAGCCCGGGGCUCAACCUCGGAAUUUGCAUUUGAAACUGGCAAACUAGAGUACUGUAGAGGGGGUAGAAUUUCAGGUGUAGCGGUGAAAAUGCGUAGAGAUCUGAAGGAAUACCGGUGGCGAAGGCGGCCCCCUGGACAGAUACUGACACUCAGAUGCGAAAGCGUGGGGAGCAAACAGGAUUAGAUACCCUGGUAG
rnacentral:rRNA from 1 species